rnacentral:misc_RNA from 1 species
GAUGAAGAACGCAGCGAAAUGCGAUAAGUAGUGUGAAUUGCAGAAUUCAGUGAAUCAUCGAAUCUUUGAACGCACAUUGCGCCCUUUGGUAUUCCAAAGGGCAUGCCUGUUCGAGCGUCAUUUGUACCCUCAAGCUUUGCUUGGUGUUGGGCGUCUUGUCUCUAGCUUUGCUGGAGACUCGCCUUAAAGUAAUUGGCAGCCGGCCUACUGGUUUCGGAGCGCAGCACAAGUCGCACUCUCUAUCAGCAAAGGUCUAGCAUCCAUUAAGCCUUUUUUUCAACUUUUGACCUCGGAUCAGGUAGGGAUACCCGCUGAACUUAAGCAUAUCUAAGCGGAGGA